GGCAGGCAGGGCUGUCCCAGGGAUGUGCUGGGCAUUGCUGGGCAGGCAGGGCUGUCCCAGGGGAUGUGCUGCCCUGCAGCCAAGCCAGGAGCCUCACAUCCAGGAAUCAGGAAUGCAGCCACGGCUGGGAAUGCCAGGCUGGAUCUGCACCAAACUUUGACACUGCAGAGGAUGCUGAGGUCACAGCAGGCUCUGAGCCCCAGCUCCUGCUCUUGGUGUGCCCCACACACCUCCCACACUGAUGGGCCUUGACCACAGAGGAGUUGCACACAAACACACACCACAAGAAAGAAGCCCUUGAAGAAGAAAUGCUGAGAUAAAGCUGCACCUCCAGUGCUGCAGGAGCCCUGCAUUGUGCUCAGAGCUGGGUGAGACCUGACCCAAAACCACACAGCUGAAGGCAGACAGCAGCAGCCACACUUGGCUUCACCAUCACCACAACCAGUGGGGACAUGGGGGAUGCAGAGCCAUGCUGCAGCUCAGGCUCUACAGGCAGGAUGGUGCAUCCCUGCCCAGGAGAGUGCACUGACUCAUCCCUCUGCCCCUGGGCUUCUCUGCCAGCUGUACAAACGAGUGAGAAGGAUGGGAGCCUGACCGACCGAGCUGAACCGUGUGCGUACUGCAGGAUGGCAGCAGCUCCCACCUCUAUGGCAGAGGAUCAGCUCAUCUGGACCUUCACAAAGACAAAGGUGCAGCUGGGCUGUCUCAGUUGGUGCUGGUGUGGCCACUUGUUGACGUUGUUCAUGCAGGAUUAGCUCAUUUCCCUUGGCAGCCCUCCUGCAGGAGCACAGACACUCUCCCCACUCGCAGGCGCAGCUGGAGGCCGGGCAGUGUUGACACAGGAAGCCUACAGCAAAAACUCAAAACAAAACAAAACCCACACCCCAGCCCUCCCAGCCACCUCCUCACAAAUGCUUUGCCUUCCCGAGGCAGUUACCAGCAGUCUGCAGAGAUGUUUCCCAGAUGUUAUCCUGGGCUCUGAACUGACUCCUGUAAAUCAAGGAUCACCCCUGGAACUUGGAUGGCAGCUCUUCCUCAGCACCCACAAAUUCCUUCCUCUCUUUUUGACUCUGUGACUAGCUGAAGAAACUUUCCUGCAGCUCUCAGAAGCCCCCUACAUCUCCAAACUGAUGUCCAUCAGGUUUUCCCCUAAAAUCAGGGAAACCCCUGGUUUUCCUCCAGCCCAGCCAGCACUCUCCCCUUGGCCACGGCAAGGACAUCACCCCACAAAGCCCAGCAGCAGUGCAGGCACCCCGAGCUGCCAGCAGCACCCAUUCCCCUGUGCCAGCACUGCAGAAAGGGCAGCAGUGAGAUCCCAGCCAGGCCAGGGAGCAGGGACAGCACAGCCAGCAGCUCUCCUCUGCUUGAGCCAGCAAAACGUGUGCCUGCGGGGAUUUACAGAGUGAAUGCAGCAUGACGUAGGGUGGUGAUGUUUUCAGGCUCUUUAGGAAACUCCAGCCACGUGCCACAUUACCCUGAAAUCGCCCCAUAUUUCAACAUGCAUCAUUUAUCUUUCUCCAAUGAGAUUUUUUAAAAAAUAUUUAUGUUUAGGAAUGCACUGAACUGGAAUAGAAAUAAAAUGAAUUACAGUAACGUCAUGGCAAAAGUAGACUAAUUUAACAUUUCAAAGCAAAAAUAUUUUUUAACAUACCUCUUUUAGAAAAAUAGGCCAAUGUGUGCAGAAAGAGACCCCAAAAUGUCAUCUACAACAAGUGACCUACAAAGCACCUGUAACAAGUGAACUACAAAGAGCACAAUACAUGCAGGAGAAAUUUCUGAAAUUCUCCAUGAAAAAUAAAUUUUAAAAGUGAUAA